rnacentral:rRNA from 1 species
GGAUUCCCUUAGUAACGGCGAGUGAACAGGGAAAAGCCCAGCACCGAAGCCUGUGGUCAUUUGACUGCCAGGCAAUGUGGUGUUUAGGUCAUUCCGCAGAUGCACUGCUCCACCCUAAGUCCAAUAAUGAGUACGGUGGUACGGACAUGGCCCAUUGAGGGUGAAAGGCCCGUGGGGGUGGAGAUCUGGCAGGACAGUGCUCCUCUGGGAAGACCUUGGAGUCGGGUUGUUUGUGAAUGCAGCCCAAAGUGGGUGGUAAACUCCAUCCAAGGCUAAAUACAUACACGAGUCCGAUAGCGAACAAGUACCGUGAGGGAAAGUUGAAAAGUACUCUGGAGAGAGAGUAAACAGUGCGUGAAGCCGCUCAGAGGUAAACGGGUGGAGUUGAACUGUGAGUCUCGAGGGUUCAGCUGAUGACGUUGAUUGGGUUUGGCCAAAUUGGUUGGGCUCUGGGGUCUGAUCAGUCUCAGGUCUCUGCCUUCGGGUGGGGAUGCGUGAUGCACUCGUUGAGUGUUGUGCGCCUCAGGUGUUCCGGGCCUCGUUGUCAGUGCACUCCCUCGUGGCGGUCACCACGACCGGCGCUGUCGUCUGUCAAUUGUGGUCGAACCGGCCGUGCAUGGUCCUUGUGGCUUUGUGCGGUCGGGAUGGCAGGUAACUCGUUGGUUUGUUCGCGAAUCUUCGGGUGUAAUCAGCUGGCUGCAAUUUGGCUGUGCGAUGUGUCGGGGACGGCGGCUUGAGUGUGUGCGUGCGUGCCAUUCUGUUGGCGUGUCCGUGUUUGGUUGCUCAGUUGCUCACGUAGUGGGCCAAGCGGCGACUGGGACGCGUGCGAUGGGAGGUUGCGUGCGUGACACGAAUCUUGGGCCAAUAGUCUGUGGUGUUGCGGUAGACUAUCCACCCGACCCGUCUUGAAACACGGACCAAGGAGAGUAACAUGUGCGCGAGUCAUUGGGCGUAACGAAACCCAAAGGCGCAGUGAAAGUGAAUGCUUGGCUUGUCCAGGCUGAGGUGAGAUCUUGUCGUUUCUUACGCGCGGUACUACCAAGCAUCGAGCGGCAAGCGCAUCACCGGCCCGUCCCAUGAUCUUGGCAGUCAAUUUAACAGUACAGUCGGGGCGGAGCAAGAGCGUACAUGUUGAGACCCGAAAGAUGGUGAACUAUGCUUGUGCAGAUUGAAGCCAGAGGAAACUCUGGUGGAGGAUCGCAGCGAUUCUGACGUGCAAAUCGAUCGUCAGACAUGAGUAUAGGGGCGAAAGACUAAUCGAACCAUCUGGUAGCUGG